rnacentral:rRNA from 1 species
UGGGGGAUAUUGCACAAUGGGGGCAACCCUGAUGCAGCGACGCCGCGUGAGCGAUGGAGUACUUCGGUAUGUAAAGCUCUGUCAGCAGGGAAGAGAAUGACGGUACCUGACCAAGAAGCCCCGGCUAAAUACGUGCCAGCAGCCGCGGUAAUACGUAUGGGGCAAGCGUUAUCCGGAUUUACUGGGUGUAAAGGGAGCGUAGGCGGCAGGGCAAGCCUGAUGUGAAAGCCCGGGGCUCAACCCCGGGACUGCAUUGGGAACUGCCCCGCUCGAGUGCCGGAGGGGCAGGCGGAAUUCCUAGUGUAGCGGUGAAAUGCGUAGAUAUUAGGAGGAACACCAGUGGCGAAGGCGGCCUGCUGGACGGUGUACUGACGCUGAGGCUCGAAAGCGUGGGGAGCAAACA